UACGCAGGUGGGCUUGUAAGUCAGUGGUGAAAUACUGCCGCUUAACGGUAGAACUGCCAUUGAUACUGCAAGUCUUGAAUAUGGUUGAGGUAGGCGGAAUGUGUCGUGUAGCGGUGAAAUGCAUAGAUAUGACACAGAACGCCGAUUGCGAAGGCAGCUUACUAAGCCAUUAUUGACGCUGAGGCACGAAAGCGUGGGGAGCGAACAGGAUUAGAUACCCUGGUAGUCC
rnacentral:rRNA from 1 species